rnacentral:rRNA from 1 species
UACGUAGGGUGCGAGCGUUAAUCGGAAUUACUGGGCGUAAAGCGUGCGCAGGCGGUUUUGUAAGCCAGAUGUGAAAUCCCCGGGCUUAACCUGGGAAUGGCAUUUGGGACUGCAAGGCUUGAGUGCGGCAGAGGAGACUGGAAUUCCCGGUGUAGCAGUGAAAUGCGUAGAUAUCUGGAGGAACACCGGUGGCGAAGGCGGCAUCCUGGACCAACACUGACGCUGAGUGAGCGAAAGCGUGGGGAGCGAUCCGG